ACUGCUUUGCCCUUGGACUUCAUUCUCUGUCCCACUAGGUGCACUGAAAGCCUUGGGUGAUUUCAGAACCUCUUGUUUUGUCUUUCUCCACCCAGCUCUCCGGACAAGGAAGCUGGAGCUCCUUCCAGGAGCCUCUCGCAACCAGAAAAGGAGCCAAUCCCCUUUCCUCCUUCCCAGAACUCAGACAGGAGGUUUGUCCCGCAGUUUGCAAAACCCAGGAAGGCAGUGACAAGACUAGCUGCUACGAGGGAAGAGGACCUCGGGAGUGGGGCCUUUAGCUCGAUCUGCACCUCUCCACACCCCAUUUUCAGCACAUUGCACUACAGAUGUCUCUGGACUGCAGGUGCUAUGCAAGCAGCUCCCAUGCCUGUGAGAGGCACUCAGGACAGCUGUGCCCAUAUCAGAGUGCUGGAGGCAAGAGCCCUCUUGCCCACAUUGCGUGAAUAUUAGAAAACUCAGAAAGGCAAUCCUGACCAGUUGCUGCUCAGUUGGUUGGAGUGUCAUC